rnacentral:rRNA from 1 species
ACGCACGCUGGCGGCAGGCUUAACACAUGCAAGUCGAACGCCCCGCAAGGGGAGUGGCAGACGGGUGAGUAACGCGUGGGAAUCUACCCAUCCCUACGGAAUAACGCAUGGAAACGUGUGCUAAUACCGUAUACGCCCUACGGGGGAAAGAUUUAUCGGGGAUGGAUGAGCCCGCGUUGGAUUAGCUAGUUGGUGGGGUAAAGGCCUACCAAGGCGACGAUCCAUAGCUGGUCUGAGAGGAUGAUCAGCCACAUUGGGACUGAGGCACGGCCCAAACUCCUACGGGAGGCAGCAGUGGGGAAUAUUGGACAAUGGGCGCAAGCCUGAUCCAGCCAUGCCGCGUGAGUGAUGAAGGCCUUAGGGUUGUAAAGCUCUUUCACCGGAGAAGAUAAUGACGGUAUCCGGAGAAGAAGCCCCGGCUAACUUCGUG